AGUAACGCGUGAGGAACCUGCCUCAAAGAGGGGGACAACAGUUGGAAACGACUGCUAAUACCGCAUAAGCCCACGGCUCGGCAUCGAGCAGAGGGAAAAGGAGCAAUCCGCUUUGAGAUGGCCUCGCGUCCGAUUAGCUAGUUGGUGAGGUAAUGGCCCACCAAGGCGACGAUCGGUAGCCGGACUGAGAGGUUGAACGGCCACAUUGGGACUGAGACACGGCCCAG
rnacentral:rRNA from 1 species